CCUACGGGAGGCAGCAGUGAGGGAUAUUGGUCAAUGGACGAGAGUCUGAACCAGCCAAGUAGCGUGAAGGAUGAAUGCUCUAUGGGUUGUAAACUUCUUUUAUAAAGGAAUAAAACGAGGCACGUGUGCCUUUUUGCCUGGACUUUAUGAAGAAGGAUCGGCUAACACCGUGACAGCAGCCGCGGUAAUACGGAGGAUCCGAGCGUUAUCCGGAUUUAUUGGGUUUAAAGGGCGCGUAGAUGGGUUGUUAAGUCAGUUGUGAAAGUUGGCGGCUCAACCGUAAAAUUGCAAUUGAUACUGGCAGUCUUGAGUACAGUUGAGGUAGGCGGAAUUCGUGGUGUAGCGGUGAAAUGCUUAGAUAUCACGAAGAACCCCGAUUGCGAAGGCAGCUUACUAAACUGUGACUGACAUUGAUGCUCGAAAGUGUGGGUAUCAAACAGGAUUAGAUACCCCAGUAGUC
rnacentral:rRNA from 1 species